AUACGUAGGUGGCAAGCGUUAUCCGGAAUUAUUGGGCGUAAAGAGGGAGCAGGCGGCAGCAAGGGUCUGUGGUGAAAGCCUGAAGCUUAACUUCAGUAAGCCAUAGAAACCAGGCAGCUAGAGUGCAGGAGAGGAUCGUGGAAUUCCAUGUGUAGCGGUGAAAUGCGUAGAUUUAUGGAGGAACACCAGUGGCGAAGGCGACGAUAUGGCCUGCAACGGGUGCUCAGUCCCGAAUGCGUGGGGAGCAAAGAGGAUUAGAUUCCAUAGUAGUCCACGCCGUAAACGAUGAGUACUAAGUGUUGGAUGUCAAAGUUCAGUGCUGCAGUUAACGCAAUAAGUACUCCGCCUGAGUAGUACGUUCGCAAGAAUGAAACUCAAAUGAAUUGGCGGGU
rnacentral:rRNA from 1 species